CGCAGCCGCGGUAAUUCCAGCUCCAAUAGCGUAUAUUAAAGUUGUUGCAGUUAAAAAGCUCGUAGUUGAAUUUCGGGAUCAAUAUGUUGGUCGUGCCUUGGUACGUACUGGCAUUAUCGAUUCCUACCUUCUGAAGAACCUCGAUGUCAUUAAUUUGGUGUCUUGGGGAAUCAGGACCGUUACUUUGAAAAAAUUAGAGUGUUUAAAGCAGGCUCGCGCUUGAAUACAUUAGCAUGGAAUAAUGAAAUAGGACGUUUGAUUCUAUUUUGUUGGUUUCUAGGAUCGACGUAAUGAUUAAUAGGGAUAGUUGGGGGCAUUAGUAUUCAAUUGUCAGAGGUGAAAUUCUUGGAUUUAUUGAAGACUAACUACUGCGAAAGCAUUUGCCAAGGAUGUUUUCAUUAAUCAAGAACGAAAGUUAGGGGAUCGAAGACGAUCAGAUACCGUCGUAGUCUUAACCAUAAACUAUGCCGACUAGGGAUCGGAUGAUGUCAAUUUUUUAAUGACUCAUUCGGCGCCUUAC
rnacentral:rRNA from 1 species